UCUUAUGAACGAGCAGAGAAAGUGGUUCCUUGAGAGGGAAUCUACUUUUGAUGAAAAUGUUAUGAA
rnacentral:pre_miRNA from 1 species